GUUUUAAUAGUUUAAUUAAAAUAUUGGUCUUGUAAACCAAUGAUAGGAGCACCUUUAAAACA
rnacentral:tRNA from 1 species